GUGUGUGUGUGUGUGUGCAUGUGCGUGUGCACACACGCAUUUGCAUUUCAUUUUCUUGCAG
rnacentral:pre_miRNA from 1 species